rnacentral:lncRNA from 1 species
GCAUCGGUCAGCUCAGCGUUCUGCUCUCCAAGGGUCCCAGGGACACACAGUUAUGGAAGUUGGUGGGUGAUCAAGGCCAGGGCUGGAGACGGGCCGCUGUGGAUGUGGGUCGCGCACCAGGGCUCUUUGGGCUCAUCUUCAAGGCCAGUCGGACCUACAGCAUCCUGGGGGACAUCGCCAUAGAUGAUGUGGCUUUCCUCAACUGCUCCCUGCCUGGUAGAGGAACUUGUCCAACUCUGUCCCCCUGUGAUUAAGGAGCAUUGUAGGGAGUUGGGAAUGAACACUGUCAGUGAUCAAGUUUCUAGGAGCCUUGCUGUUGGACCCCUCACUAAUAUACUUGUUAAACUUUUUUUCUCUGAACUACCCAUAAAAGGCCAUUAAUGCAACUGAUUAUCAUUGACAUUUUUUAAUUUAGCUGAUGCUUUUCUUCAAAGUGACUUAGACUGUUGCGGUAAUUGCAAUUAUUUAAUUAUUUAUACAGCUUAGGAAUUUCUGCUGUGUCACUUUAGAGUAAGUACCUUUCUCAAGGGUACUACAACAGGAGGCAGGAUUCAAACCUGCAACCUCCAAGUCCUAAGGAGGCAGCUCUCACCAUUGCACCACUUUGUGGCCCGCUUGUUAUAAAAAACAGUUGACGAUCAGGAAUGUUUCUAUGUUAUAUGCCCACUAAUACAAGAGGACAUUUGAAAACAAAGGAAAGAGUACGCCUGGUGUGUUACCUGCUCAUUUCUCCUUGUUUCCCCUCAGUGCCCCAGGAUAGGUGUCCGCAGGAUGAGGUUCGCUGCACCAAUGGGGUGUGUGUGGACCCGAGUGCAGUGUGUGACUUCAGCGAUGACUGUGGGGACCGCAGUGACGAGACGGACUGCGAGCUCCGGGGCUUCCUGAACCGCUGCAGUUUUGAGCACGGCCUAUGUUCCUGGCAGCAGAGCGACCUAGACACACCGGGGGCAGAGUGGAUCCGGCAAAGUGCCGAAACUACCCUGUCCGAAUACGCACCACCAAGAGACCACACUCGAAACUCAGCAGCCGGUACAGCCUUUGCUCCCACCUAUAUCAUGACACCAUGUCAUCUGACUAUUCCUUAA